ensembl:lncRNA
GCCAGGCACAGAACAACACACAGCCAGGCACAGAACACCACACAGCCAGGCACAGAACACCACACAGCCAGGCACAGAACACCACAGCCAGGCACAGAACACCACACAGCCAGGCACAGAACACCACACAGCCAGGCACAGAACAACACACAGCCAGGCACAGAACACCACACAGCCAGGCACAGAACACCACACAGCCAGGCACAGAACACCACACAGCCAGGCACAGAACACAGCCAGGCACAGAACACCACACAGCCAGGCACAGAACACCACACAGCCAGGCACAGAACACCACACAGCCAGGCACAGAACACCACACAGCCAGGCACAGAACACCACACAGCCAGGCACAGAACAACACACAGCCAGGCACAGAACACCACACAGCCAGG